GACGAACGCUGGCGGCGUGCUUAACACAUGAAAGUCGAACGGAAAGGCCCUGCUUUUGUGGGGUGCUCGAGUGGCGAACGGGUGAGUAACACGUGAGUAACCUGCCCUUGACUUUGGGAUAACUUCAGGAAACUGGGGCUAAUACCGGAUAGGAGCUCUUGCUGCAUGGUGGGGGUUGGAAAGUCUCGGCGGUUGGGGAUGGACUCGCGGCUUAUCAGCUUGUUGGUGGGGUAGUGGCUUACCAAGGCUUUGACGGGUAGCCGGCCUGAGAGGGUGACCGGCCACAUUGGGACUGGGAUACGGCCCAGACUCCUACGGAAGGCAGCAGUGGGGAAUAUUGCACAAUGGUCGGAGGGCUGAUGCAGCAACGCGGCGUGCGGGAUGACGGCCUUCGGGUUGUAAACCGCUUUCGCCUGUGACGAAGCGUGAGUGACGGUAAUGGGUAAAGAAGCACCGGAUAACUACGUGCCAGCCGCCGCCGUAACAC
rnacentral:rRNA from 1 species